AUGCAUUUUAGAAGAUUUCCAACUUCCAUAACUGCUCCCACUAGUUGGACCAAUAUCUUCUCCAUGCAUUCAUUGUUGAUCUGUGGAUUCUUGAUUUUGCAUUUUUCAUUCUUCUUCUUUGGUUCUAAAGAAGUAGACGUUGCUUCCCCUCUAGUUGCACAUGCAGCCGCUUCAUUUCCUUCAAUUCUACUAAGGAGUGCACGGACGUCUAUUAAGUUUCUUUCUAUCAAUAAAUCAAUGUAUUCGCCUUCCCAAAACCAAAAUGAGCAUCCAUCUUUCUACACACAUGAUGAUGUUCGAAAUGAGCUAUCGCAAUUGAACCAAAGAAUGCGGUGCCAAAGCCGAAUGAAAACAACAUGUACCCUGUCGUUUUCGCAUUUGAAGAACACCCAUCCGGGGUGCUUCGGCGUGCCCGAAGUUAGCCGCAGCACUGUCUGCGUGCAGUCGUGGCACUGUAUGAGCGGCAUCGGCGAGCCACAGAGUCUCUGCGCGAGCGCCGAGCCCGGCGGACGGCUAGCCGAAUCCAUGCCGACAAACCGUCGGCGGCGGCGACAGGACGAACCCGUACUUGCAUGCGGCGAUGGGACUUUACCGGGGCUGCGCGAGGUGCUCCCCGACCAUUCCAUCGCUUGGCGCAGCCACCGGCGGCCGAAAAAGCCAAGUCCGGCCGCCCGUGACGAAGGGUCGCAGAUCUGCAACUUUCCGGCCCGUCAACGCAGGAGGGGGGGGGGCGGAGGGCAACCUCGUGCGUGUGGCGGCCUUUCGGCGUGA
rnacentral:rRNA from 1 species